rnacentral:rRNA from 1 species
AGAGCGAACGCUGGCGGCAGGCUUAACACAUGCAAGUCGAACGCGUGUAGCAAUACACGAGUGGCGCACGGGUGAGUAACGCGUGGGCAUCUGCCUCAUGGUUCGGAAUAACCCCGGGAAACUGGGGCUAAUACCGGAUGGUACCUUCGGGUUAAAGAUUUAUCGCCAUGAGAUGAGCCCGCGUCCGAUUAGCUAGUUGGUGGGGUAAUGGCCUACCAAGGCGACGAUCGGUAGCUGGUCUGAGAGGACGAUCAGCCACACUGGGACUGAGACACGGCCCAGACUCCUACGGGAGGCAGCAGUGGGGAAUAUUGGACAAUGGGGGCAACCCUGAUCCAGCCAUGCCGCGUGAGUGAUGAAGGCCUUCGGGUUGUAAAGCUCUUUUGGCGGGGACGAUGAUGACGGUACCCGCAGAAUAAGCCCCGGCUAACUUCGUGCCAGCAGCCGC